rnacentral:rRNA from 1 species
GACAGAGGCCUCGAGCGUUAGGCGGAAUCACUGGGCUUAAAGCGUGUGUAGGCGGGCCCGUAAGUGUCUUGUGAAAUCCCACGGCUCAACCGUGGAACUGCUGGGCAUACUGCGGGUCUUGGGCCAACUAGGGGCAGCCGGAACAAGCGGUGGAGCGGUGAAAUGCGUAGAUAUCGCUUGGAACGCCGAAGGUGAAAACAGGCUGCUGGGGUUGCGCCGACGCUGAGACACGAAAGCGUGGGGAGCGAACGGG